CAGCAGCCGCGGUAAUACGAAGGGGGCUAGCGUUGUUCGGAAUUACUGGGCGUAAAGCGCACGUAGGCGGAUUUUUAAGUCAGGGGUGAAAUCCCGAGGCUCAACCUCGGAACUGCCUUUGAUACUGGAGAUCUUGAGUUCGGAAGAGGUUGGUGGAACAGCUAGUGUAGAGGUGAAAUUCGUAGAUAUUAGCUAGAACACCAGUGGCGAAGGCGGCCAACUGGUCCGAUACUGACGCUGAGGUGCGAAAGCGUGGGGAGCAAACAGGAUUAGAUACCCCUGUAGUCCCUGUCUCUUAUAC
rnacentral:rRNA from 1 species